CUGCGCAUGACAAACACUCGCAGGCAUUGCACGCGGAUCUCCAGUAGCAGUACGCUGUUUGUUCAUGUGCAAUGUGGCGGGGAAUGAUCAAUAAAUUCGAGGUGCUGGCCACAGUGUUCACACAAACAGUUCUACGAUAAGUGACUGCAAAGUUGUAUAGUUCUUCACAGAAUAUCAAGUUUAUAAUCAUCAAGAUGCCAGGAUCCUGUUGUGAUAAGUGCUCUUCCCAGUGCAAGGACGGCUGCAAAUGUGGGGACAACUGCAAGUGCUGCAGCGGCGGAUGUCCAGACCAAUGCUCCUGCAAAUCUGGAGGCCAAUGCAACUGUAAAAACUGCGCCUGCAAGUGAACUCUCCAACGAUGAUUCCACAUUCCAUUAUCUAAUCAUUACUUUAAUUGGAACGGCAGCUUUUUUUCGUGAAACUAAACAAUCGGCAAGACUGAUGCUCGGAACAAUGAAUUAAUCUUCUUUCGAAACUAAAUCUUACUGUUCAUUCAAAUUGUCAAUGCUGGGCGGAAAGAAAUAAAUACUAAUACAAAUUAUUCUGAAAACAUAA